AACGAACGCUGGCGGCAUGCCUAACACAUGCAAGUCGAACGAGACCUUCGGGUCUAGUGGCGCACGGGUGCGUAACGCGUGGGAACCUGCCCUUAGGUUCGGAAUAACUCCCCGAAAGGGGUGCUAAUACCGGAUAAUGUCUUCGGACCAAAGAUUUAUCGCCUUUGGAUGGGCCCGCGUUGGAUUAGCUAGUUGGUAGGGUAAAAGCCUACCAAGGCGACGAUCCAUAGCUGGUCUGAGAGGAUGAUCAGCCACACUGGGACUGAGACACGGCCCAGACUCCGACGGGAGGCAGGAGUGGGGAAUAUUGGACAAGGGGCGAAAGCCUGAUCCAGCAAUGCCGCGUGAGUGAUGAAGGCCUUAGGGUUGUAAAGCUCUUUGACCCGGGAUGAUAAUGACAGUACCGGGAGAAUAAGCACCGGCUAACUCCGUG
rnacentral:rRNA from 1 species